rnacentral:rRNA from 1 species
UACGGGGGGGCAAGCGUUGUUCGGAAUUACUGGGCGUAAAGGGCUCGUAGGCGGCCAACUAAGUCAGACGUGAAAUCCCUCGGCUUAACCGGGGAACUGCGUUCUGAUACUGGAUGGCUUGAGAUUGGGAGAGGGAUGCGGAACUCCAGGUGUAGCGGUGAAAUGCGUAGAUAUCGGAGGACACCGGUGGCGAAGGCGGCGAGUCCUGGACCAACACUGACGCUGAGUGAGCGAAAGCCAGGGGAGCAAACGGGG